rnacentral:rRNA from 1 species
AUGAACGCUGGCGGCGUGCCUAACACAUGCAAGUCGAACGGGAAAGGUCGAAAGACUGAGUAGAGUGGCGCACGGGUGAGUAAUGCAUAGGAAUCUACCUUUCAGAGGAGAAUACCCUGGAGAAAUCCAGGCUAAUACUGCAUAAGCCCAGAGAUGGGGAAAGAUGGCCUCGUGCUAUCACUGAAAGAUGAGCCUGUGUCCUAUUAGCUAGUUGGUAAGGUAAAAGCUUACCAAGGCGAAGAUGGGUAGCCGACCUGAGAGGGUGAUCGGCCACACUGGAACUGAAACACGGUCCAGACUCCUACGGGAGGCAGCAGUGGGGAAUAUUGCACAAUGGGCGCAAGCCUGAUGCAGCGACGCCGCGUGGAGGAUGAAGGUUUUCGGAUUGUAAACUCCUGUUAAACGGGAAAAAAGACGCAUGGCUAAUAUCCAUGUGGGAUGAUGGUACCGUUAGAGAAAGCACCGGCAAACUUCGU